rnacentral:rRNA from 1 species
AUGAAUGACGCGGCGCUCAUCAUCGACGUCGACGUCGAGCGCAGCGACGUCCAGCCCUCCUCGGCGGUGGUGGCGACCAAGGGAAUCCGGUGGGUGCUGUGCCUGAUCUGCUCCUUCGGUCUCGCCACCGCCUUCAUGUCGGUUGCCUCGGCCAUCUACAAGGCGCCGGCCGGCGUCUUCGACGGCCACACGUGCGCCUACUACGUCUCCGUCAUCACCUCCGGCAUCAUGGGCCUGGCGGAGGCGUGCGCCGCGGUCGUCUGGCUCUCCAGCGCAGCAGAUGAUAACUGGCGGAAGCAGCUCGCACGGCGCUGCGUGCUGUGCGCUUCGCUCCUGCCGCUGGCGUUCAUGGCGGGCCUCGGCGGAGUUCGCAUACUCGUCAAGUAA